GAUGAACGCUAGCUACAGGCUUAACACAUGCAAGUCGAGGGGAAACGAUAUUGGAAGCUUGCUUCCGAUAGGCGUCGACCGGCGCACGGGUGAGCAACGCGUAUCCAACCUGCCCACCACUUGGGGAUAACCUUGCGAAAGUAAGACUAAUACCCAAUGAUAUCUCUAGAAGACAUCUGAAGGAGAUUAAAGAUUUAUCGGUGAUGGAUGGGGAUGCGUCUGAUUAGCUUGUUGGCGGGGUAACGGCCCACCAAGGCUACGAUCAGUAGGGGUUCUGAGAGGAAGGUCCCCCACAUUGGAACUGAGACACGGUCCAAACUCCUACGGGAGGCAGCAGUGAGGAAUAUUGGUCAAUGGGCGAGAGCCUGAACCAGCCAAGUAGCGUGCAGGAUGACGGCCCUAUGGGUUGUAAACUGCUUUUAUAAGGGAAUAAAGUGAGUCUCGUGAGGCUUUUUGCAUGUACCUUAUGAAUAAGGACCGGCUAAUUCCGUGCCAGCAGCCGCGGUAAUACGGAAGGUCCGGGCGUUAUCCGGAUUUAUUGGGUUUAAAGGGAGCGUAGGCCGGAGAUUAAGCGUGUUGUGAAAUGUAGAUGCUCAACAUCUGCACUGCAGCGCGAACUGGUUUCCUUGAGUACGCACAAAGUGGGCGGAAUUCGUGGUGUAGCGGUGAAAUGCUUAGAUAUCACGAAGAACUCCGAUUGCGAAGGCAGCUCACUGGAGCGCAACUGACGCUGAAGCUCGAAAGUGCGGGUAUCGAACAGGAUUAGAUACCCUGGUAGUCCGCACGGUAAACGAUGGAUGCCCGCUGUUGGUCUGAAUAGGUCAGCGGCCAAGCGAAAGCAUUAAGCAUCCCACCUGGGGAGUACGCCGGCAACGGUGAAACUCAAAUGAAUUGACGG
rnacentral:rRNA from 1 species